UGUGCCUUACUUCUGAAACAAUGGGUCUGUUAGCAUUUCCUAAUGAAAGUAGACUACAAGGAGCCCCAUUUUCUAGACUAGCCAUGGCAAGCAUUAGCACUGUAUACUCCUGAUAGUGAUAUCCCUGAGAACUAAUUUUUAUCCAGAGAAUGACAAAAUAGGUUAAAUGAUGCAAGGCCACAGAUAUGUUCUUUUUGUUCUAGGAAAGCUGAUUUUAAAAGGUCAGUCUGUCCUGCUUUGUGUGAUGAGAUGGAAGACUUACGCUUUGUAAAUGGUUGUGACAUGUAACUUAGCCAGAAAAACGUAAAUUGAAAUUGUUCCUUGUGAAUACUUGUACACUUUAAUGUAACUUUUAACCUGCAUUACAGUGGUGUGCUUACACAAGUUGUUACUAGUUGGAAGCAAUAUUUAGCAUAUUAUAGUGAAGUGUUAUUUCCUUAUGUCUUUGAUAAUGAGCUAAAAGAAACUUGCUGUCCUCCUGUCUGCGUUUUCUGUUCUGGCAGCAUCUUGCUCAGGGUGAAAUGGAGACUAUUUUCAGAUCUUGUGCAUGAACCACAUUGACAGUUUAAAGGGAAAUUAAAGAAAUACAUUUUCAGCUACGUAUCACUGAAAUCCAAAUACCAGUUCACUGAAACCAAAGCAUACACACAUACAGCUGCCAAAAUCUGCAAAAUGUUGUUAACAACUUAGAGUGUUUCUGGUAUAAUUGAAUUUCUCCAUCAAAUAUCCCGGCCUUCCCAUGGUUUCAAAACCAUGAUAAAAUGUGAUUAUUUGUCACGUAGGUAAUUACACUUCUUUUAUCAGUAGUCUUUUUAAAAUAAAUUUCAGCUUAAAAUAUUAUUAAAAACAUUUUGAUUUAGCAUUUAGCAGAAUUAAUGCCUGAGCAUAUUUAUAAAUUGUAUUUGCAGACUCCUUUGACUGUUGUAAAGGGUUGAAAACGUUUGCAAUAACAAAAAUAAAAUAAAAAAGAAAAAACUAUAAUUAGCACAAAUGGUUUUUAAAUUUAAAUCUUCUUGUAAGACCAUAUGUUUGGGAACUGCUGAGUCACGGCCUGAACCACUGAUUGAGCACCUGAAAGAGGAGACCCAGUCAGCCCUGAGUGCACAGGUGGAGGCAAUUCAUCUGCGAGACCAGUGGAGCCAGACCUCAUGUAAGGGCUUAUUGCCCGAGGAACAAUCUUUUGCUGGAGAUUUCUCCUAUGUGGAGUUUUUCUGCGAGCUAAGAUCUUUGGAGAUGGCAGCUGGACUGUAUGUAUCAUAUGGACGACCGCUUGUGGGUAACUUCAGACUGCAGUUUUGUCUACGGGGAAAAAAUCAGAUGAGACAUUCUGAGGAAAACCCUGAAGCAGGAAAAAAUGGUGAGAAUAUCUCUAUAAAGAAUAUUGAUAUAAUAUAAACAGUUGGUGUUGAAUUGGUGCUUCUGAAAUUGCCCAGAGUAAAAACAGUACCUUGCUAUGUCCCUCUGGAAGUGUUACUUAGACCUGCAGGGGGCAGGGGAGAUUCUGCUUUUUGGAGCCAUAUUCUGGGAGUGCAAAACCGAAACUUCAGCUGUCGUUCCUACUACCUUGGGCCAUGUUGCUCCCUUAUCUGGGAGUCAGAGGGUGUCAUGGAACAUUUGUGUUGGUUUUUUGUUUGUUUGUUUGUUUGUUUGCAUAGAAGGAGAUUAAAAAAAAAAAAUUAAAAGGAAAGGAAUUGAGAUCCACCCCAGACCUUUGCACAAGUGCUUGUUGUUUGUUUGUAUCCCCUUCAGUGCCAGUCAGCUACAGCUAUAUGGUAUUGUAUUUAAUGCUUUAGGGAAAGUUUUGGCUUUUUUUCUCUAUAAUUCCUCAGCUGCUUCCUACUUCAGCUGGGGCAGUGGUCACUGUGAGUGGCAAAGUCAUAGUUUGCAUGUGCUGUUUUUUGAAUUAAAUUAAAAUUUAAAAGGACAUUUGAGUAAAUAAAGAAAUGGUGGUAAAACUACUGUUGAGUAGCGGAAAUGUUUAUCUGAGGGAUUUUUAAUGCCUUUUUUAGCAGCACUAGAUCUUCAGUCUUUCAUAUAUACCUUCCAGUUAUCCCAAAUCCAUAUGCUGUAAGUUUUUGUACUGUUCCUAAGUAAUCAAGAAACUCAUGUACUGUUGCCACAUAGUCUGUAAUUAAUUUUAUCACGUAAAUAAUGUCUUAAUGCUGUGGUAUUUUUUUAUCUGAUAAGCUUAACAUUUACUCAAACUCAUUUCUUUUACUCUGACAGGGUACUGCUUUUGUUAUCAUCAUUAGUUACAUCUAUUUGAAAAAUAAGUUCUUUCAAACAUAAAUUUUGUUUCACAUCUCUAUAAACCUUGAAGAAAGGAUUGUAAUCAGUUUCCUAGCAGUGUUUCUGUAGCAUUCGCUGAAUUCCCUAAAUUACUUCUGUGUAUCAAUGAUAUAAAAACCAACCAACCAAAAAAAAAAAAAAACCAAACAAACAAACAAAAUAAAACAAAACAGUUUCUUAGUGGUAUAAAAUUUUGAAUAAUGUAUUGCAUUACAUAUUUGUAUCUGCAAACUUACAGAACUCUUCAAUAUGUAUACUAGUUUUUGCAAGUCUUUUCAAACAGUCCAGAAUUGAAACCCUCCACUUGGCAUCCUGGUGUCCCAUUUUUAGGUGGAGGUUUGUAGUACAUCAUGUGGCAGAAUUUAACUGUAACUCAAAAUAGCAAUAAGGUAAUGUCUGUUACUGAUAACACAGUUUUGAGCAGGAUUCCACUUAGAAAUCAUUGACUGGAUAUGUGAUUUCUUGGUAUCUAUUUAUUCUCCUGUAACAAGCAUUACAUUGACUCAUACUUUUCUUUUUUUCUGAAAAAGAAAAGUGAUCUGAAAUAGAGCAAGUGUAGCUGACAGUAAGACACAUACCUUGGUUAUAUUUGCAAGUGUAUGUUUAUGGCCAGAGAACUGGCCAGAGUGAGGGG
ensembl:lncRNA